rnacentral:rRNA from 1 species
UACGUAGGGUACUAGCGUUGUCCGGAUUUAUUGGGCGUAAAGGGCUUGUAGGUGGUUUGUCGCGUCUGUCGUGAAAUCCUGUGGCUUAACCAUGGGCUUGCGGUGGGUACGGGCAGGCUUGAGUGCGGUAGGGGAGACUGGAAUUCCUGGUGUAGCGGUGGAAUGCGCAGAUAUCAGGAGGAACACCGGUGGCGAAGGCGGGUUUCUGGGUAUUAACUGACUCUGAGGUGCGAAAGCGUGGGGAGCAAACAGG